rnacentral:hammerhead_ribozyme from 1 species
ACCCAGCUGACGAGUCCGAAACAGGACGAAACGCGCGUCUUGGAU